UGAGACUGGAAUAUGGAGCUCAUGUGGGCUA
rnacentral:piRNA from 1 species